UUCCAUGAAUAACUUCAAACUAGAUUUUUGUUGGUCUCUUUCCUAAAUCAAGGAAUGAAGCUAUGAGCAGAAGGAUACAUUUCAUCUUUAACCUUCAAACAAUGAACAAAAGCUACAUUUGUCCAAAUCCUAAAAGAAAGCAGCUGCUGGUUAUAUGAAAAAUAACUUCCUGUGGUUAAAUUCAAGCUGCCGCCCAGCCACCAACCACUUUUUAUCAGGACAAAUUGAGAAGAAAGUUGCAACUGUGUUGAAGUCAUCGGCAGAGAUAUGGUUUAUUGAUCUAACUUCUUGAUGCUUACACAAUGAUAUAAUAGAAUACAAUUUGUGGCUGAUAUAGGAUUGUAGUGUGACAGUCAGGAAAACUCCAUAAGCCGCAUCUAUAUGAUGAGACCUGUAUCCCAACACAGUCUACUGGACUAUAUCUCAUAGCUACUGAGGAGGAGACAUCAUCUAACAGGGACAUUUGGACACCACUCGAACCACUAAUAACACAGAAGGUCCCCCAAGAGGAACAACCGUUAGCUUGAAUAGAUGUAAAAUGUCAUAUGUGUUUUCUUUUUUCAACUCUUUUCUAUUACACUGUAUAAAAAGGAAAAAAAUGUGAACGUAUCAUAAAUAAAGAAUAUACAAAACAAAAAGAUGCAAAUCGAAAUUCAUUGUCCUCUGCUGAAUACUAAUAUAUAGGUUUCCCAACCAAUGUAGAGUCACCCUGUUGUGCUAUUAGGUAGGAUUUUCAGCUGAAACAAAGAAAUGAAAAAUCUUAGGUAGAAAAAUUAUAUCCUUACAGAAUUACUAUACUUACGCCUAUAUCAUAAUAACAAUGCUCUGCUGUGUGUAGUGAUGAGCGAAUCUGUCCCGUUUUGCUGAAAAAUUCUCUGAAAUAUUUGUGAAAUGGCGAAAAAUCCACGAAACACAGGUGACUUUUUUGACUCACUCAACUAAUUUGAUGUUACGGCGACUUUUUCCUCAUUCACUGAAUUGAUCUAUGAUUUGUUCAGACAGUGUAUGCUGGUUAUCAAAUGUAGACCACGCGUAGUGCCAGUUUUGUAAAAAAAUGCAGAAUUUCCUAGUGGAUCCAUGCCUGGUGCAAUACAUUCGCUCAUUGCUAGCUGUGUGUGAUGCACUGUGCAUUUUUAGCUGUGUAGGUCUGGUCUAGGAGACAAAAUCAUUAUUUACUCUCAGGUCUUCUUCUAAAUAACCACAGGUAGUAUUGCAUGAAUGAUCAGAGUUUGUCUUCUAUGCACAACUUCCAGAUUAUGCGUGGUCUACAUUUGAGAACCUUACUAGAAGUGUAAUUUAAUUUGCCUAUGGGAUGGGGUAUAUAUAAACACUAUGCUAAGUGCUAGAGGCCCUCACUUUUGCAGAGGUAAAAAUAAGAUCAGAGCUGUAAUAUGUACAAGGCACUUUAUGCACCUUCCAAGGGCCUUCCCAGUACUAGGUGAGCUAGUUAUGGCACAAAAGAAACAAUGUAUUUAGCUGCAGUCCAGGUGGUGCAAGGCAGCAACACAGAAACAUGUGUCUCUUAGGGAGGGUGGUAUUGGAUGGAAGGAGCCUCAAAUAAUUAGCCUGCCUAGGGUUCAUAUAUCAGUCUAUAAAUGCUGUUCUUGGUAUACCUCAUAAUUUUGAAAAACAAAGCUGCUCCUUCUUUUAUCUUUUGUUAAGGCAUAGCAUGCACGGGCUGA